rnacentral:lncRNA from 1 species
GAGGAGGGAUUGUUUUGCGAUUUUGGGCCGUAUGAGGCUGUUGACAAGAGUCUUAACGUUUGUAGGUUUUCUAAGCGUGUUCUGAGACUUUUGCGUUAAUUGAAGCGCAAGUGUCUUAAAAAGGAGCGACGCAUAUUGUAGUAAAAUUUUUUGAAAUCUCUAAAAAACUCGAUUACAAUAACGCAUGUUUUCCUAUGUGGGAGUAUACGAGUAUACGCACCCACUCCCCCCCCCCUUUUUAGAGAGGGGGAUAGCUGAACUCGUCUUUCGACGAGCUGCCUACGUACCUCUUUCGAGGAUCAAGCCAUCUCUUAGUUCUAUUUGAUGCCGCGAGCGUUUUUACUCGGCGAUUGUCGCCGUGCUGACCGCCUUGAUAGUGGUGACCGCGGCCGGGUCAGCGUUCUCUUCCGGAUGUUCCGGUUGAGUCGUAGUGUCGGCUUCGGACUCGUGUUGAGUUUCGACAUCCGAAGUGUUUGCAUCGGCAGACGAUGUUAAAUCG